GUGAACGCUGGCGGUAGGCCUAACACAUGCCAGUCGAGCGGCAGCACAGUAAGAGCUUGCUCUUACGGGUGGCGAGUGGCGGACGGGUGAGGAAUACAUCGGAAUCUACUUUUUCGUGAGGGAUAACGUAGGGAAACUUACGCUAAUACCGCAUACGACCUACGGGUGAAAGCAGGGGAUCUUCGGACCUUGCGCGAUUGAAUGAGCCGAUGUCGGAUUAGCUAGUUGGCGGGGUAAAGGCCCACCAAGGCGACGAUCCGUAGCUGGUCUGAGAGGAUGAUCAGCCACACUGGAACUGAGACACGGUCCAGACUCCUACGGGAGGCAGCAGUGGGGAAUAUUGGACAAUGGGCGCAAGCCUGAUCCAGCCAUACCGCGUGGGUGAAGAAGGCCUUCGGGUUGUAAAGCCCUUUUGUUGGGAAAGAAAAGCAGCAGGUUAAUACCCCGCUGUUCUGACGGUACCCAAAGAAUAAGCACCGGCUAACUUCGUG
rnacentral:rRNA from 1 species